CGUUUGCGUGAGGGAUAGCAGCGGAAAUCCUUUCCCUUUUUUCUUUAAAAAGGAAAAGAUUGCAGCGAAUAGCCCGACGGCUU
rnacentral:sRNA from 1 species